rnacentral:rRNA from 1 species
UACGUAGGUGACAAGCGUUGUCCGGAUUUACUGGGCGUAAAGAGCGCGCAGGCGGUCGUUCAAGUCGAGUGUGAAAGCCCCCGGCUCAACUGGGGAGGGUCACGCGAUACUGGUCGACUCGAAGGCAGGAGAGGGUAGUGGAAUUCCCGGUGUAGUGGUGAAAUGCGUAGAUAUCGGGAGGAACACCAGUGGCGAAGGCGACUACCUGGCCUGUUCUUGACGCUGAGGCGCGAAAGCUAGGGGAGCAAACGGG